rnacentral:sRNA from 1 species
AUUAUUACUAAUAUUAGGAGCUAAAUCAAGCAAAUUAGUGACAAUAGCUAUAUUUUGUGUUCUCAAAAGUAGCAAACUCUAUAUAAACUAAGACCUAUCUCGUCCGAUAUACAUCAUCGAUAGCAAUACAUAAAUGUGUUUCACUAAAAUAUUUAGAAAUUAAAAGCAUAUAUUAUAUCUUUCUGAUUAUUACACACAAAAUGAUAAUAAAGAAAUCAAGCAUCACACUAAUAUAUAAGCUACUUCAUUUGGAGCAA